GUGCUCGCUUCGACAGCACAUAUACCAAAAUUGGAACGAUACAGAGAAGAUUAGCAUGGCCCCUGCGCAAG
ensembl:snRNA U6 U6 spliceosomal RNA